AAGCACAAAGUUCUGUUGAAUUUUUAUUGAGUGUGAGGCCCACUUGAACUCAUCCUAAACAGAGUUCACUCUGUCUCUGCUGAAACCCAUCUGAAAAAGCCUGGAAAAGACUCUACUUAGGAUGACUUGCAUCUUGGGAUUCGUUCCCCUACAAAGAUCCUCUUAACACCCCAAUUACAAUACUAUACUCUACCAUCACCCCGUUUUUUGUAAUAAAAUAAAUUAAUAAUAAAGAAUUUGGAGUUGGAUGAUGGGGAAGUAAGAAGGAAGGAAGGAAGGAUCCCCUACACAAAUACAAAUAAUAUCCAAUUUCCAUUAUUAUUGUGGAUUUGGAUUUGGGGCGCUAAAAGCAGAAUUUGUUAUAAAAUCAGGAUUUUAGUAAUGAGAGAGCAACUCAUGUGGCGGCUUGUAGUAUAUGUACCAGGCAAAGGACGAUCAUUACUUUCUGUUGCUGCUUCUGGUCCUUCCUUCUUAACUGUACUUCCUUUGUAGACAUUUCAAGAGAGAGAGAGAGAGAGAAAGAAAAGGGGGAGGGAGGCACACACAUAUGAAAUGAUGAUGAUGAUGAUGAUGAACCCUAUUCUGUGAUGAGCAAGUAUAUAUGUGAUCUUUGUUGGUCCUAGCUAGGUUGGUUUUCAUGGUCGUACCACCAUCUAUGUUUGCUUAUUAACAGAACACCACCACUCUACAAAUAAAGCUCCUCCCCACCCACUACCACCUCAUACCAACCAAUUUCUACUCCUCCCUUAGGAUAGUGGAUCCAUCAAACUAUAUCCAGCUGGAAGUGGAAGAAGCAGAAUAUAUAAAGAUAGUUUUAGAAGAAGAAGCAUCGAUUGAUCGAUCGGAGAGGGGUUGGAUUUGUAUGUGUAUGUUAGGAUGGCUCGAGCAGUGUGCGAAGAGAAAUCGAGGGAGAUGGUGUCAUCAUCAGGUGGUUUCUGUUACUCGGGGACGACGAUGGAAGGGUUGGUGGGGGACCCUGCAGACAUGUUCAACAACCUCACCAGUGGCAUGGACAUGGUAGGGUUUUCGAAGAAUGUUGAGCAGCAGAGUGAUAGCAACAACCCUCACAUGUGGAAGGCUUUGUUUGGGAAACAAGGGCCUUCCAAUAGGAGCAUCAACAACGAUUCUUCUUCAGCCUCCUUCUACCAACAGCAACAGGUUGAUGAUGAUUCAUCGUGGCAGGAGAACAGGUUGGUGGUGGACGAUUCAUCUCUGAGGUGUGUGUUCCCAUGUGAAGGAAACGAGAGGCCAAGUCAAGGUCUCUCGCUCUCUCUAAGUUCAACUAAUCCCUCAUCCAUUGGCUUGCAAUCUUUUGAGCUCAGACAAACCACUCACCCUCACCCUCACCCUCAGUCUCAGCCUUAUUAUGCAUAUCAAAAUUUUGCUAAUAAUAAUAAUAAAGCUGCAGCUUCCUCCUCAUCUACUAGUGCUUAUCAAGGACACUUGAUGCUCAAGAACUCCAAGUACUUGGUUCCAGCACAGGACCUUCUCAACGAGUUUUGUAGCCUGGCCAUAAAGCACAAGUCCAACAACAACAACCACCAACACUGGGAAGAUCACGAUUCCUCAAAGAAGCCUUCUCCUACCUCUAUUGAAUUCGUCGAGCUGCAAAAGCGAAAGACCAAACUGCUUUCCAUGCUCGAAGAGGUUGACAGGAGAUACAAGAACUACCGGAUUCAGAUGAAGGCGGUGGUGUCUUCCUUUGAGGCGGUGGCUGGGAACGGUGCUGCCACGGUUUACACGGCUUUGGCACAGAAAGCCAUGUCUAAAUAUUUCAGGAACUUGAAGGAUGCCAUAAUGGGGCAGAUUCAGGCGACAAGAAAGGCCAUGGGAGAGAAAGAUCCAGUUGCACCAGGCACCACCAAGGGUGAAACCCCGAGGCUGAAGAUCAUUGACCAAGCUUUGAGGCAGCAAAGGGCAUUCCAGCAAAUGAGCAUGAUGGAAACUCAUCCAUGGAGACCUCAGCGUGGCCUUCCCGAGCGCUCCGUUUCUGUUCUUCGUGCUUGGCUCUUUGAGCAUUUCCUCCAUCCUUACCCAAGCGACGUUGAUAAACAUAUUCUAGCCCGCCAAACUGGCCUAUCAAGAAGCCAGGUUUCAAACUGGUUUAUCAACGCAAGGGUUCGUCUGUGGAAGCCAAUGGUGGAGGAAAUGUACAUGGAGGAAUUGAAGGAACAAGAAAACAUGAUGGCUUCUUCGGAGGGUGCUGAUGACCCGGACCUCCACCUGCCAUCAUCACGGUCGGAGGAUCAGAAGCCAAGCGUAGUGGUUGGAAUGGAGUCCGAUCAGUGUGCGUCAUCAUCCAUGCUCAACAACAACAUAAAAAACGACCCAAAGAGCAGCCAUAAUAAUCCGGAAGAAGAAUGCUUGGGGAGAGUGAUGGACACAUUUGGAUCGGUAGAGCUUGAUUUCUCUUCAUACACACAGCAGCAGCAGCAACAGCAGGGUUUCAAUGGGGUUUCUUUGACUCUAGGGUUACAACAGCACGGUGGAAGCGGGGUGAGCCUGGCGUUCCCUCCUCCUCCGGUGAGCAGUCAUCAUAGCUCGCUCUUCUACGCAACAACCAGGGAUCAGAUAAUGGACAGCUGUCCACCCUCAUCGUCAUCUAUAGUUCAUCACUACUCUCUUGUUGAUGGCGAACCACAAAAUCUUCCUUACAGGAAUCUCAUGGGUGCACAGUUGCUUCAUGACCUCGCUGGCUAAUUUAUUUAUUUAUUAAUAUUUAUUUUCAGAUUUCCAUGCACGUGCCUAACAUGCUCUUUCAAAUUCCUUUCUUAAAUAUAUAUAUACUACUACAUACAUAAAGCAACUCUUGAGGUUAGAAAUAUAUAUAAUUCCUAUAGUUAGUUCCUCUAUUUUUAAGUAUGUAAUGUAUCUAGAAAUCUACUUCUCUUCUCUCUUUAUAUUUUUUCAAUUAUGGCUUGGAUGCUGUGGUGUGGCGCAACCUUUGAUAGGGGCCGGCGGGCAGAGAAUGCAAGUGGG